UACGUAGGGUGCAAGCGUUGUCCGGAAUUAUUGGGCGUAAAGAGCUUGUAGGCGGUUUGUCGCGUCUGCUGUGAAAUUUCGGGGCUCAACCCCGAACUUGCAGUGGGUACGGGCAGACUAGAGUGUGGUAGGGGAGACUGGAAUUCCUGGUGUAGCGGUGAAAUGCGCAGAUAUCAGGAGGAACACCGAUGGCGAAGGCAGGUCUCUGGGCCAUAACUGACGCUGAGACGCGAAAGCGUGGGGAGCGAACCGG
rnacentral:rRNA from 1 species